rnacentral:snRNA from 1 species
GUGCUCACCUCGGCAGCACAUAUACUAAAAUUGGAACGAUACAGAGAAGAUUAGCAUGGCCCCUGUGCAAGGAUGACAUGCAAAUUCGUGAAGCCUUCCAUAUUUUU